CAUGCCUCCUCUCCUGCUCUCCAUGUCCCAAUCUCUCUCUUUCUCUCUCACUCUCCAUCUCCUGCAUUGCCUCUUCUAUCUCUGCGUGUGUGAGUGGGUUGAAAAAUAAAAAAAAAGAAAGAAAAAAAAAGGAGGAAACAUGAUCUCUCUUCUCUUCUCUCUCUCUCCUUCCCUCUUCUUCUUUUCUCUUCGCUGCCGUGGGUUGUGGCUGCUAUCAUGGGUAGGCUCUUCAUCAAAGUAAGUAAGAUUAAGCAUCCCCUUUGUAUUAUUUGGAUUGAGUUCAAUUAAAGAUUAAUGAGUAGUUAUUGGAACUCUUUGUAGGUAGUUAAUUUCUGUUAUAAAAUAAGUAAUGGAUGAAAG
rnacentral:lncRNA from 1 species